rnacentral:rRNA from 1 species
GACAGAGGGUGCAAACGUUGUUCGGAAUUACUGGGGCGUAAAGCGUGUGUAGGCGGCUUUGUAAGUCGGAUGUGAAAGCCCCGGGCUCAACCCGGGAAGUGCACUCGAUACUGCGAAGCUUGAGUACUGGAGAGGUUGGUGGAAUUCUCGGUGUAGAGGUGAAAUUCGUAGAUAUCGAGAGGAACACCGGUGGCGAAGGCGGCCAACUGGACAGAUACUGACGCUGAGACACGAAAGCGUGGGGAGCAAACAGG